rnacentral:rRNA from 1 species
GUCGAACGAUGAUCCGGUGCUUGCACCGGGGAUUAGUGGCGAACGGGUGAGUAACACGUGAGUAACCUGCCCUUGACUCUGGGAUAAGCCUGGGAAACCGGGUCUAAUACCGGAUACGACCUUUCACCGCAUGGUGGUUGGUGGAAAGAUUUUUUGGUUUUGGAUGGACUCGCGGCCUAUCAGCUUGUUGGUGAGGUAAUGGCUCACCAAGGCGACGACGGGUAGCCGGCCUGAGAGGGUGACCGGCCACACUGGGACUGAGACACGGCCCAGACUCCUACGGGAGGCAGCAGUGGGGAAUAUUGCACAAUGGGCGAAAGCCUGAUGCAGCGACGCCGCGUGAGGGAUGACGGCCUUCGGGUUGUAAACCUCUUUCAGCAGGGAAGAAGCGAAAGUGACGGUACCUGCAGAAGAAGCGCCGGCUAACUACGUGCCAGCAGCCGCGGUAAUACGUAGGGCGCAAGCGUUGUCCGGAAUUAUUGGGCGUAAAGAGCUCGUAGGCGGUUUGUCGCGUCUGCUGUGAAAGCCCGGGGCUCAACCCCGGGUCUGCAGUGGGUACGGGCAGACUAGAGUGCAGUAGGGGAGACUGGAAUUCCUGGUGUAGCGGUGAAAUGC